CCUACGGGUGGCAGCAGUGGGGAAUCUUGCGCAAUGGGCGGAAGCCUGACGCAGCGACGCCGCGUGCGGGACGAAGGCCUUCGGGUCGUAAACCGCUUUCAGCAGGGACGAGGCCCUCACGGUGCCGGUACCUGCAGAAGAAGCCCGGGCAAACUACGCGCCUGCCGCCGCGGUAAUAGGUGGGGGGCGAGCGUUAUCCGGAUUAUUUGGGCGAAAGGCGCGCGUAGGCGGCCUGUUAGGCCGGGGGUCAAAUACCGGGGCUCAACCCCGGUCCGCCCCCGAUACCGGCAGGCUUGAGUCUGGUAGGGGAAGGCGGAAUUCCCGGUGUAGCGGUGGAAUGCGCAGAUAUUGGGAAGAACACCGGCGGCGAAGGCGGCCUGCUGGGCCACGACUGACGCUGAGGCGCGAAAGCUAGGGGAGCGAACAGGAUUAGAUACCCUGGUAGUC
rnacentral:rRNA from 1 species